rnacentral:rRNA from 1 species
CACAUGACUCUCGACAACGGAUAUCUUGGCUCUUACAUCGAUGAAGAACGUAGCAAAAUGCGAUACUUGGUGUGAAUUGCAGAAUCCCGUGAACCAUCGAGUUUUUGAACGCAAGUUGCGCCUGAUGCCUUCGGGCUGAUGGCACGUCUGCUUGGGCGUCACGC